rnacentral:rRNA from 1 species
CCUACGGGUGGCAGCAGUGGGGGAUAUUGCACAAUGGGGGAAACCCUGAUGCAGCGACGCCGCGUGGGUGAAGAAGCGCCUCGGCGCGUAAAGCCCUGUCAGCAGGGAAGAAAAUGACGGUACCUGAAGAAGAAGCCCCGGCUAACUACGUGCCAGCAGCCGCGGUAAUACGUAGGGGGCAAGCGUUAUCCGGAUUUACUGGGGGGAAAGGGGGCGCAGACGGCGAUGCAAGCCAGGAGUGAAAGCCCGGGGCCCAACCCCGGGACUGCUCUUGGAACUGCGUGGCUAGAGUGCAGGAGGGGCAGGCGGAAUUCCUGGUGUAGCGGUGAAAUGCGUAGAUAUCAGGAGGAACACCGGUGGCGAAGGCGGCCUACUGGACGGUGACUGACGCUGAGGCUCGAAAGCGUGGGGAGCAAACAGGAUUAGAUACCCGAGUAGUC